rnacentral:rRNA from 1 species
UACGGAGGGGGCUAGCGUUGUUCGGAAUUACUGGGCGUAAAGCGCACGUAGGCGGCUUUGUAAGUUAGAGGUGAAAGCCCGGGGCUCGAACUCCGGAAUUGGCCUUUAAGACUGCAUCGCUAGAAUUGUGGAGAGGUAAGUGGGAAUUCCGAGUGUAGAGGUGAAAUUCGUAGAUAUUCGGAAGAACACCAGUGGCGAAGGCGACUUACUGGACACAUAUUGACGCUGAGGUGCGAAAGCGUGGGGAGCAAACAGG